UUUAAAAAAAAAACCCAAAUACCCAAUUUAAUAAUUCCCUUAAUUUGCACCAAGACAAGUACAAAAGAAAACAAACAUAAACCUAUUUAUCCCUUUCUA